rnacentral:sRNA from 1 species
CCGGCGACAAGAUUUGCAGAGAGAAGCGAGGCUAAUGAGGAAAGCAGAAAGGAGAGGAUAGGGCGCAUACUCUUUGCAACACCUCGAGACCGGCUGAAUCCGUUCAAGUCCCUGUAGCUCUUGCUGCAAAAAGGGAGCCCCCAGUCAGGCCGAGGCACAUGCACAUGGCUUCCACAGACCUAUACACAGUCCUGCUCCAUGUGCCAUGAAUGGAAGCAGUAAAGAACACGAGCAAUGCGCAGCAGCAGCAGCAGCGUCUCUACCUACUGAUUGCCAUUGCCAGGUGAUGUCACG